AUUAACAUUCCUUCCAUUAUUAGGACACAUGUGCCUCUUCCUGAGCCUAGGCCCACUCAUAUACCUAUUGAAGAAGCUGAAGAACUCAGAGCUACCAUAGCAAGAUUAGGGAAGGAAAAUAAAGAGUUGCAGUUGAAUCUUCAACAAGUCACGAAUGAGAAAAAUAAGAUAAAAUGGGAACUCGAGCGGAAGAAUGCACAGCUUCAGG
rnacentral:lncRNA from 1 species